AGAGUGUGAUAGCUGUUAUCAUCAAUUCUUCACUGUUGCAGUGAGUGGAAGAAGAAGGACUAAGAGAAGUGUACUUUUCACAGUAUUGAGACUUUGUGCAGGUCUCUACUACCUCAAAGGAAUUUGAAGUCCAUGCUAAGCCAGAUACAGGCUUCAGGGCAAGACAAGGACCAGUCCUGCAAAUUUCAUUUGGUACUCUGAAGAAUGCCAUUGUGGAGCACAGCAGGCUGAUUUGAAGUAUGCAUGCCUGUGAUGCUAAGAUGCACUGCAGUGUUCUGUGAUACUUGGAGCGUCCUUAACACCAAAGGCUGUGUGCCUAGUUACUCUGCAUUGCUAGAUGCCAGCCAGGAGGUGACACAAGUGUGAAGAGAGAUGGCCAGGUCAUUCCCUGCCAGGACUGAAUGGAGUCUUUUAGCCAAAAAGAGUUAACAGAAAGCACCAUUCACAUAUUCUCCAGCUGACAGUCAGCAAAGCAUCCAUUCCAGGAGCUAUGAAAUCUGAUUUCUUAGCCUAGAACAUUCUUCCCUUGGCUUCAGAAGUUUAACCAAAAGAUGAUUCAAAUUAAAAAUAACAAAUUCAAAAUAAGAAAUCUUCAUUGACUUUGCAAAUAGGAAAAAAAGAAAUAGAGAAAGUUUAUGUCACUCUGGAUACACGCUUUUCCAGCAGGAUAAGAUGAGCUGCCUCUGAAGAAGCCCAUCCAAUCCCCUUGAAUCUAAGCAGAACUAAGGCAACUCGUGUGUCUAACUUUCAGAUAGCUAAAUGCAGCCAAGGAAAGUCCAUCUGUAGUCAUCUAAGUGCUUUGACUUUCCCUUCGAUGCUUUUGAAGAAUGUUUGCCUCCUCUACAUUCG